rnacentral:rRNA from 1 species
GACGAACGCUGGCGGCGUGCUUAACACAUGCAAGUCGAACGGAAAGGCCCUGCUUUUGUGGGGUGCUCGAGUGGCGAACGGGUGAGUAACACGUGAGUAACCUGCCCUUGACUUUGGGAUAACUUCAGGAAACUGGGGCUAAUACCGGAUAGGAGCUCCUGCUGCAUGGUGGGGGUUGGAAAGUUUCGGCGGUUGGGGCUGGACUCGCGGCUUAUCCGCUGGUUGGUGGGGUAGUGGCUUACCAAGGCUUUGACGGGUAGCCGGCCUGAGAGGGUGACAGGCCACAUUGGGCCUGAGAUAGGGCCCAGACUCCUACGGGAGGCAGCAGGGGGGAAUAUUGCACAAUGGGCGGACGCAUGAUGCAGCAACGCCGCGUGCGGGAUGACGGCCUUCGGGUUGUAAACCGCUUUCGCCUGUGACGAAGCGUGAGUGACGGUAAUGGGGAAAGAAGCACCGGCUAACUACGU